GUGGGGAAUAUUGGGCAAUGGGCGAAAGCCUGACCCAGCAACGCCGCGUGAAGGAAGAAGGUUUUCGGAUCGUAAACUUCUAUCCUUGGUGAAGAUAAUGACGGUAGCCAAGAAGGAAGCCCCGGCUAACUACGUGCCAGCAGCCGCGGUAAUACGCAGGGGGCAAGCGUUGUCCGGAAUGAUUGAGCGUAAAGGGCGCGUAGGCGGCUUGGUAAGUCUGGAGUGAAAGUCCUGCUUUUAAGGUGGGAAUUGCUUUGGAUACUGUCGGGCUGGAGUGCAGGAGAGGUAAGUGGAAUUCCCGGUGUAGCGGUGAAAUGCGUAGAGAUCGGGAGGAACACCAGUGGCGAAGGCGACUUACUGGACUGUAACUGACGCUGAGGCGCGAAAGUGUGGGGAGCAAACAGGAUUAGAUACCCCUGUAGUCC
rnacentral:rRNA from 1 species